GGUGAACGUGAUCUGCGAAAGUAUGAAUUCAGAUUUGGAAAACCUGUACGAUUAUUCAGUAUUUAUUCACACGAUUCCGAUACUGAGAGUAUAAUAUGCACUUAUUCGUAUUUAUUUUAGGUAAAGCGGUCGAUUUGCUAUUUAUAAAAACAUUGCUUCAAUUUUGGUUAUGUCUCGCGAGCCGUUAGUUGCCCGUGCCUGACUUAUAUGUUGAAUGUCCAAAUAUGUCCACGCAGUUGCUGCAGAGAAUUAAUCAGCGUCAAUGGACUUAACUAUAUUUAUAUACAUACUCUUUAACUAUAUUUUUUAUCGAUAUUGAUGACAGAGGCGGUUGUGGUGCAGGAUGUGGUCGCCUUCGGUGGUCACGGAGUCCGGAUUUUCGCGACAAUUUCUGCCCAGAAAUGUCGCGAACGUACGGCUUUUUGCCAACAUGGCCGAAAAGUCGCUCCGCUUGCGAGAGUAUUUCCAGCAAAUGAGACACGUGCGAGACUUUUCGUCAAUGUGAAUUAGCAUGUGUGCUAAAAUUCUGCGAUCUCCAAUUACUUCACCAUAUCUCGGACAUACUAUGGAGGACCUCUUUGUAAUGUUUGAGCGCCAUUGCAUACAGUAGCAGACAUACAUGUUAUGUCUCGCGAGCCGUCGGUUGCCCGGGCCUGACUUACAGAAUGCCCUAACACGUCCACCCAAUGUUGCUGCAUAAAAUUAAUCAGUGUCAAUGCUCUUCUGUUUUGCAUACCGGCACAUCCCGAGAAACGUCCUUAACUGUACUUUUUACAGAUCCUGAUGGCGGAGGCUGUUGCGGUCCAGGAUGUUGUCGGCGCCGAUGGCGGCGGAGCGCCUUUUCCUCCGAGAACUUUUUCUCGCAGACAUCGCAGGCGAACGGCUUUUGACCGGAAUGGUCGAGAAGAUGUAUCUUCAAGCUGCUGAGCCUGCGGAAGUAUUUCUUGCAGAUGGGACAUGUGUUCGAUUUCCGGUCGUUAUGCAUCAGCAUGUGUGCCGAGAAUUUAUAAUCCCGGAUCAAUUUACCACACUUCGGACACGUGACGGAGGACCUCCUCGCGAUGUCCGAGUGCCAUUUCAUGUGUCGGUCCAGGGUCACCUGGGACUCCAGGACGCUGCCGCAGAUGAAACACUUCGUGACGAGGUGGUCCAGUUUCAUGUGAUGGGUCAGGUCGCUCUUCACCUUGAACUCCCUCGGGCAGAUCUCGCAGACGUACGCGUACUUGUCGGUGUGCUGGCGAAGAAUGUGUUCCGUCAAUGUCCUGCUGUUUUGGGUCUUGAAGUCGCACUCGGUGCAAGGGUAUUGUGCGGAAGAACUCGGUACAAACGUUGCACGGAUACUUGUACGACAUCAUGUGGCUGCGGAGAUUGGACUUCAGGUAGAACACCUUGCCACAACGGUCGCAAUACAGAGGCCUGCAGCCCUUUCCAUUGUACGGCUUCUGCGCUUGAUGCGACGGAAUCGCUUCGGAUCUUGCGGCGGUGUCGUCUCUCGAGUUAACAGGCGGCAAAUUAUUUUCGGAGUUCGGGAUUAAUGGUUCCGACGAUUGCUGGUGACCGCCCGUUUGCGCGCAGUCUACUAAUAGGUCUCGAUGACGUCCUUAACAAUGUCUUUGAUCGAUACCGGCGGUAGCGGCGGUUUUGGCCCAGGAUGCAGCCGCUUUCGGUGGUCACGGAGUCCCGAUUUCCGCGCCAACUUUUGCCCGCAAAUGUCGCAAACGUACAGCUUCUUGCCAGCAUGGGCGAGAAGAUGUAGCUGCAAGUCGCUCUGCCUCCGGAAUGAUUUCCCGCAAACGGAACACGUGCUAGGCUUUUUGCCGCUAUGCUUCAGCAUGUGUCUGGACAGGUUGCAAUCACGGAUCAGCUUGCCGCAUUUCGGACACGGUAUGGAGGCCCUCUUCUUCAUAUCCGUGUGCCAUUGCGUAUGCCGGUCCAGCGACUCCUGGGACUCCAAGGUGCGCUUGCAUCUCUUGCAUUGAUACGGCUGUUCGCCGUGCUUGCUUUUCACGUGGUUGACCAGCGCUUUGUGGUGUUUGAACACGAUGCUGCAGAUGAAACACUUCGUGAUCAGAUGGUCCUGCUUCAUGUGCUCGGUGAGGUCGCUCUUCACCUUGAACUCCCUCGGGCAGAUCUCGCAGACGUACGCGUACUUGUCGGUGUGCUGGCGAAGAAUGUGCUCCGUCAGUAUCGUCUUGUUCCGGGUUUUGAAGUCGCAGUCGGUGCACGAGUACUGGUAUCUCUCCACGGGCGCCGUGACCGGCAGCCCGUGUCUCUCUGUGACGUGCAGCAUGAUCUCCAGCUUAGUGCGGAAGACCUCUGUGCAGAUGCUGCAUGGAUACCUGUACGACAUCAUGUGGUUGCGAAGAUUGUACUUCUGGUAGAAUACUUUGCCGCAACGGUCGCAAUACAGAGGCCUGCAGCCCUUUCCAUUGUACGGCUCCUGCGCUUGAUUCGAUGGAAUCGCUUCGGAUCUUGUCGUGGCCGUCUUCUCUUUCGAGUUCGGAGACGGGAAAUCAUUUCCGGAGUUCGUGAUUAAUUUUUCCGACGAUCGGCGACCGUCCGUUCUCGCGCAGUCUACUAAUGUGUACACGUUUUGAAUAUUCCACUGGCCGAAUUCGUACAUAUUUCGAACGUCUCCGAAAGGAUCCAGCGAUGAACUAAAACAGAUCAAAGUCCGUUUCGUUAGAUUGCGAUGUACCGAGACGGUUUGAAAUCUUUUAACAGCGAGCUUCUCACGUGCGUAUAACAUAAUAGGGAUGUUUAGGGAUAUUGGAGAAUAUAUUUCGACACUUUUAGUAUAA